rnacentral:rRNA from 1 species
UGACAGAGGUCUCAAGCGUUGUUCGGAUUCAUUGGGCGUAAAGGGUGCGUAGGUGGCGGGGUAAGUCAGGUGUGAAAUCUCGGGGCUCAACCCCGAAACUGCACUUGAUACUGUCUUGCUCGAGUACUGGAGAGGAGAUUGGAAUUUACGGUGUAGCAGUGAAAUGCGUAGAUAUCGUAAGGAAGACCAGUGGCGAAGGCGAAUCUCUGGACAGUUACUGACACUGAGGCACGAAGGCCAGGGGAGCAAACGGG